rnacentral:rRNA from 1 species
CCUACGGGAGGCAGCAGUGGGGAAUAUUGCGCAAUCGGGGGGCAACCCUGACGCAGCGAUGCCGCGUGAGUGAAGAAGGCCUUAGGGUUGUAAAGCUCUUUCAGUGGGGAAGAUGAUGACGGUACCCACAGAAGAAGCCCCGGCUAACUCCGUGCCAGCAGCCGCGGUAAUACGGAGGGGGCAAGCGUUGUUCGGAAUUAUUGGGCGUAAAGGGCGCGUAGGCGGUCUGUCAAGUCAGGAGUGAAAGCCUCAGGCUCAACCUGGGAACUGCUUUUGAAACUGACAGACUUGAGUCCGGCAGAGGGUGGUGGAAUUCCCCGUGUAGAGGUGAAAUUCGUAGAUAUGGGGAGGAAGACCGGAGGCGAAGGCGGCCACCUGGACCGGUACUGACGCUGAGGCGCGAAAGCGUGGGGAGCAAACAGGAUUAGAUACCCCAGUAGUC